rnacentral:rRNA from 1 species
UGAGGAAUCUUGCGCAAUGGGCGAAAGCCUGACGCAGCAACGCCGCGUGAGUGAUGAAGGCUUUCGGGUCGUAAAGCUCUGUCGAGGGGAAAGAAGUGUAUUGUGGCUAAUAUCCACGAUACUUGACGGUACCCCUAAAGGAAGCACCGGCUAACUCCGUG